AACCUAUGUGUGCAAAUGCAGAUUAGACACAGAUGUUCCAGCAGGGCUGGCCCCACGCGGACAAACUCUGUCUAAAGAAGAGCAGAAGAGUUGGCAGAGGAAAUCAGAACUUGUUUCCUAAGAACUUCCCAGGUAGAAGAUUUAAUCGCUGCUCCAGUGACAUGUGUGUUAAUGAGGGAGGAAAGAAAAAGGACCCCCUAACAGAUGGAGAGAGAGGCUCUGAUUACUGAAAGCAGUUUUACAGUCUCCUGUACACGGCCUGUGAGGACCCUCACUCCAGGAUCAGCUCUCAUUUUCGUGGAUUGGGACCUGCCCUUUGGUGAUAUUGGGAAUGUUGGAGGAGCAAUGCCUGGAUCUCCCUCUAUGCUGCCCAUGAGGCUAUCUGCAUCUUUCACCUUUCCAGGUAUGCGACUUGAAGUGAGCUUUAAGGUAGGCAGGGGCCCCUGGCAACUUAAUUUUUAAAAAUACUAUUUUAUGUUUUAGCUAGUCCUCAGGGACAGGACACUGAGUCAAGUGUACCCCUCCGUGUAUGUUAAACCAUCCUCGUCCCUCUGUAUAGGAGCCUCUCCUGCGAUGUUUGCUAUGAUUUCCCAUUUCCUCCUUCCCUUAGGCAACAGUUCUGAUGUGUAUAAUAUGUACCCUUUUCUAUGCAUUCCUAGAAAAUGUGUGUAGUUAAUUUGUGUGCAAGUACCUAAAGCUUAAUGAUAUAAUUGUAAUAUGUUAAUAUAAAAGUGAUAUUGUUAUAGAUGUCAUUCUGAUUCUUUUUUCACUCAGCUUAAUGUUUUUAAUCUUGUCAUGUUGCUAAUGUAUGAUAAUAUAACCAGCUACACACACAGGAUAAAAAAUUAAUGCCAUAAAUGAAUUAAAAAGGAGAAAUGAAAGGAAAUUAGUUUAUAAUAAAAUAUGUAAUUUGGUAUGUAAAUGCACAGGCACAAAUCUACUAGACGACAUAAUGAAAUCUAUGAUUUUAAGGAAAAACUCCGGAUUUAAGAGAAGUAAGGAAAGAUUCACUUUCUAUUGUUGAAACUUUCCUUGACACUUUUCCUUCCCAAAGUUUUUGGUAUUUUGAAAUAAGAGCUAAACAGCUAUCUGUGUGAUUAUAAACAUUUGCCCACAUGAAUGUUUGGCAGGACGCGUGGGGCAUGAUGUGUGUCUUUGUGUUUCCUGUGCGUUGUGGGACCUCUAGUAUUCCUGCCCUGCCCACCAAUUCCUGCUUGAACCCCUUCCCCCAGUCACUAUGACAGAUAAAAAUGCUCCCACAGGUGGCCAAAACGCUUCCUGGAGCUGGAUCAUAGAUCUAAAUCUAAAACCUAAAACCGUAACACUUCUAGAAGAAAACGUAGGAAUAAAAUCUUUGUGACCUUUGCUUAGGUAAAGAUUUCUUAGAUACCAAUACUAAAAGUGUGAUCCAUAAAACAAAAAAAGGGAUAAAUUGGACUUCAUCAAAACCAAAAAUUUUUGCUCUUCAAAAGACACUGUUAAGAGAAUGAAGAGACAAACCACAGACUAGGAGAAAAUAUUUGCAAAGCAUAUUUCUGAGAAAGGACUCAUAUCUAGAAUAUGUAAAGAACUCUUAAAACUGAAUAAUAAGAAAACAAACAACCCAAUUUAAAGAAUGAAAUGAUGUGAAAAGAUGCUCCAUCAAAGAAGAUAAUAUGGGGGCCGGCCUGGUGGUGCAGCAGUUAAGUUCGCAUGUUCCACUUCUCGGUAGCCUGGGGUUCGCUGGUUCGGAUCCCGGGUGCGGACAUGGUACCACUUGGGAAAAGCCAUGCUGUGGUAGGCGUCUCAUGUAUAAAAUAGAGGAAGAUGGGCAUGGAUGUUAGCUCAGGGCCAGUCUUCCUCAGCAAAAAGAGGAAGAUUGGCAGUAGUUAGCUCAGGGCUAAUCUUCCUCAAAAAAAAAAAAAAAAGAUAAUAUGGAUAGCAAAUAAGCACAUGAAAAGAUGUUCAACAUCAUUGGUCAUUAUGGAAAUCCAUAUUAAAACCACAAUGAGAUGCCACUAGUACCUGCUGGAAUGGCUAAAAUCGGACAGACCAUCCUUACUAAGUGUUGGCAAAGAUGUGGGUACUGGAACUCUGACACACUGCUAGUGAGAAUGUAAAAUGGUACAGCCACUUUGGAAACAGUUUGGCAGUUUCUUAAAAAGUUAAACAUACACAUCCUAUGUGAGCUAGCCAUUCCACUCCUAGGUAUUUACCCAAGAGAAAAGAAAGCAAGCAGGCUGACUCAUACAUGAAUAUUCAUAGCAGCUUUAUUUGUAACAGUCAAAACCCAGAAACAACACAAAUAUCCAUUUACAGAUCAGUGGAUGAACAAAUGGUGGUAUACCCCAAAUGCCCCUGGAAUGGUAUUUCCCCUCUGAGGACCAGAAGUCUAAAUUUCGGAACUUCAUAUUCAAGGCCCUUCAACAUCAAUUCCAGUUUCUCUUUCCGUCCUUCCCUCCUGACAUUUCCCUUGUGGAUGCUCUAUGUUGAGUGCUCUAAGUUCCCUGAACACUGGGGGCUUCACAAGAUGAAGCUUUGCAACUGCAGUUACCAUGCCUCAGCUGUCCUGUCCCUCUUAGGCUCUCUUAUCCUGUCGACCUCCCGCUUACAUAUUUCCUCUCAGGCACCUCCAUCUCCUCCAGAGUUAGAUACUCCUUCACUUUAAUCUAGCAGAGCUCUUCAGCAUGAUACAGGAUUCACUUAUGAUAUGUCUGCCCACUGACUUGUCAGUUCCUCAAGGACAGGAAACGAGGCUUGGUCUUCUGUUUUGUUUUACAUCCUUUGUGCUUAGCGUAGAGCUUGGUAGACCACAAGUACUUGAAUGAAUAAAUGAAUGAAUGAAUGAAUUGGUGUUCAGUUAUAUGUCUUACUAUUAAUAAGCUAGUAAUUUCAGCAGCUGGGAUGGUUUUAUAUGUGAGUUGGAUCUUCUGCUCAACUGAAGACAUGCUCCAUUUCAGCAACAAUUAUCAACACUUUUAACCCUAAUCACCUGAUGGGUCACUGGCACACCACUGUCAUCUAGAGAUUCUGAUAAGAUACGUAACCAUUGUGGUACCAGAAAUAGUAAUUACCCAAAAGUUCUUCAACAAAGCACUGAUUAAAGAAAUCUCACUUCAUGCACAUGAUGUAUUCUUUGUGUUGGUUAAAAAGACUGAAUUCCGUACAAACUGAUGUGGAAAAAUGUAAAUAAAUACAAUACUGAUCAAAAAGAGAAGUUUCAAAACAACAGAAUCGGAUCUUGAUUUAAAACUGUAUAUGCAUAUAGAUCUGUAUACACAUUGUUUCAGUAUGUUCUUAGAAAAGUCUGGAAAGAUAUUCACUCAGGGAGAUGGAAAAUGAUGGGGAAACAUUCUUUUCUUUCUCUCUCUCUCUCUCUUUUUUAACUUUAUAUGCUUCAAUAAUCAAAUUUACCAGCACAUUUUUCUUUAGUAAUUAAAAAACCCACACAGAUUAAAAAUAUAUACCUGACCAGUGAGACUUAUUGUUAUGACUUGUUGUUAAGACUUAUUGUUAUGAAUUUGUUUCAGAUGCCUCCAAAAAUUAAUUCUUAGGUUAAUUUUAACAUUUUAGAUGUAUGUAGCAUCUUCCUAAAAUGCAAGCCACUUUUACUUUGUGAUCUUACUGUCACCUUCAGAUAUCUUUUCGGGCAGGUGGAGUGGGCAGGGAACUCAAGUCCGGGAAGGGUGGAUGUUGUGUCCGAGCAGGGUCUGAGCAUAGCCUGCGGGUCUCUUCUCCUGCUCCUAGACUGGCGUACUUGUCAGGAAAGUUCAGCUGUCCCCUGACUGAAAUAGGACGCUCUCGUUCCUUCAGAUAAGGAAAAUGAGACAUGAAGAGGUUAAGUUGUCCAAGGUCACAUGCAGGAGUUGACAUUUGUGAGGAGUCCAGGACAGUCAUUUUGCAGAUUAUGCGGCUUAUUUGUUCAACAGUUCACAGUAAACACCUCCUGUGUGCCGGGCACUGUGCUGUGAGAGGAGAACAUCGUCGUCAAGGCAAGCGUGGUCUUCUCCCUUCUGGAGCUCACAGUCUAGUGGGAGAGCCUGAUGAUAAAUAAGCAAGUUACAGAAAAGUGAAAGAUGCUGUGAGGGACAAAAGAGAGUUUCCGGUUGGACAUGUAUUUGCUCUAUAAAGUAAAUAAAAUAGGCCUGAGAUCAGACAGAGUGGGAAGAGUGUUGCUUUUGACGGAGUUGACUGAGGCAGGCCUCUCUUUGAGGCGGUGACGUUUGAGACCCACAGGAUGAGAAAGUGCCAGUGAGGAGGCAGCUGUAGAGGGUUCUAGGUACUUUCGCCACAUUAGCUAAUUGGCUGUGUAGGGGAGGAGGACAUUUCCUCUCCCCAAAUGGGGGUUCGUCUAGCUGGAGAACGAAUUAAAUUCACAUGAGACAGAAUAGCAAGAGAAAAUUAAACAAAGCUUUAUGAGGAACCAUGGCCCGGGGCCUUUCUUCCCGAAGGAAGAAAGGGCACCGAAGAAGUGGGGUGCACAGAGUGGUUAUAUAGCCCCAAACAGGGUGUUUCACAUGUGAUUGAAAUGUCCCUCCCACAAUAGUCACAAGAUUGCCCUGUUGGCACAGUGCUUGAUGGACACAGCAGGUAAUGGUCUGCUAUCUCGGUGGGCAUAGCAGGAGGCAAGUCUAUGUCUGGAGCUGGGCGGUCGCAGGUGAGUGCAGCAGCAAUCGGUUCCUAGCCUAAGGAAAGAUGCUUAAUCCUUAAGGAAUGCCAAAGUUGGGAGGGGGAGGGAAGUCAGUUACAGGAGGUUACCAGACUAGCACAAUAAAAUGCAGAUUUUAAGUCAUUGCCUUUGGUAUUGAUUAAGAGUUUUUAGAGAGAAGGUCAUCUCCUUUCUCCUUCCUGGUACAGAGAGGGAGGCACGUUUUAGAGAUAGAGAUUUACCUUACGAAUGUAAACGUGUCCUAACAAAGGGCAAGUUCCAUUCCUCAGAGCCUCCUUCCCCGUCCCAGUUUAUCAAAAGCAAUCAGCCUCAAAUAAUCCUGAUGCCAAAGAGACAUAUCUUGGGGUGGCCAAUUCCAGGUCCCCACAGCUGGAAGGCAAUUUUACUUUAAAAAUAAAAUAAAAAUAAAGGAGGGACAUUAAAAAGGAC
rnacentral:lncRNA from 1 species